GACGAACGCUGACGGUGUGCUUUAGACAUGCAAGUCGAACGCGAAAGCCCUUCGGGGUUAGUAGAGUGGCGAACGGGUGAGUAACACGUGGGCAAUCUGCCCCUCGCAGGGGGACAACCGGAGGAAACUCCGGCUAAUACCCCGUACGCUUGCGGAACCGCAUGGUACCGCAAGGAAAGGUAGCUUCGGCCAUCCGGCGAGGGAUGAGCCCGCGGUGCAUUAGCUAGUUGGUGGGGUAACGCCCACCAAGGCGACGAUGCAUAGCUGGUCUGAGAGGAUGAUCAGCCACACUGGGACUGAGACACGGCCCAGACUCCUACGGGAGGCAGCAGUCGGGAAUCUUGCGCAAUGGGCGAAAGCCUGACGCAGCAACACCGUGU
rnacentral:rRNA from 1 species